GCCGGGCAUGGUGGCGUGUGCCUGUAAUUCCAGCUGCUUGGGAGGCUGAGGCGGGAGAAUCGCUUGAACCCAGGAGGCGGAGGUUGCAGUGAGCCGAGAUUGCGCCAUUGCACUGCAGCCUGGGUGAUAGAGUGAGACUCUGUCUCAA
rnacentral:SRP_RNA from 2 species